rnacentral:rRNA from 1 species
CCUACGGGUGGCUGCAGUGGGGAAUAUUGGACAAUGGGGGGAACCCUGAUCCAGCCAUGCCGCGUGUGUGAAGAAGGCCCUCGGGUUGUAAAGCACUUUCAGUGAGGAAGAACGCCUGGUGGUUAAUACCCAUCAGGAAAGACAUCACUCACAGAAGAAGCACCGGCUAACUCCGUGCCAGCAGCCGCGGUAAUACGGAGGGUGCGAGCGUUAAUCGGAAUUACUGGGCGUAAAGCGCGCGUAGGUGGCUUGAUAAGCCGGUUGUGAAAGCCCCGGGCUCAACCUGGGAACGGCAUCCGGAACUGUCAAGCUAGAGUGCAGGAGAGGAAGGUAGAAUUCCCGGUGUAGCGGUGAAAUGCGUAGAGAUCGGGAGGAAUACCAGUGGCGAAGGCGGCCUUCUGGAAUGACACUGACACUGAGGUGCGAAAGCGUGGGUAGCAAACAGGAUUAGAUACCCCUGUAGUC